GACAGAGGCCUCAAGCGUUAGGCGGAAUCACUGGGCUUAAAGCGUGUGUAGGCGGAUGCCUAAGUACCUUGUGAAAUCCCACGGCUCAACCCUGGGCCUGCAUUCGAUACGGGCAGACUAGAGUUCGGUAGGGGAGACUGGAAUUCCUGGUGUAGCGGUGAAAUGCGCAGAUAUCAGGAGGAACACCGGUGGCGAAGGCGGGUCUCUGGGCCGAAACUGACGCUGAGGAGCGAAAGCGUGGGGAGCAAACAGG
rnacentral:rRNA from 1 species